CAGAUCCAUGGUGAUUCAAAAGAGAAAUCUUGCUUUGAAAAGUCUAGAUUUUGACAAGUGAAUUAGAAUGAAUUUCUUAAGAGCUUUUUAUCUUCUAUUUAUAGCUUUUAAUUAGAAGAUAAUUAUCAAUAAAUAUAUACAUUUUUUUUAAAUUUGAUUUACUAUAUUUGUGGGCUUUUGUUAGUUUGGUUUCAGAUUUAAAUUUAAAUUGUAACUAUAUGAAAAUAGUUUUGCAAUCGGUAUUUUUUUGUAAAAUUAAGUAUUGUUUUGAAAUUUAAUAAUAAUAAACUUAUUUGGCUCUGUUUCUAUCAUCUUCUCCCAAACUCUGAUAUGUUACUCUCUCUCUCUCUUCGAACAAGAACAAGAUGAAGUCCAAGGAAUUGGAGAGUCGAGCAUUUAAAGCUAGUCUGAUAAAGGGAAUCAAAUAGAAGGUAUGUUAUGAUACAUAAUAUAUACCUUUUGAUUUCCUUGUUGUUCACUUUUUAAGUCAAACAUGGAAGUUUAUUCAAAGUUUUGCUAAACUUUUUAGCUUAUAGUCUGUUAUUAUGAACUAUAUUUCAUGUGACACAGUGUAAUCUGGUCAUGUUAUCUUUAUGGUGGAUGGAUGAUGUAUAUUAUGUUAUCUGCCAUUUUCUUCCUUAGCUAACAACUCUAGAUUUUACUCUACAUCUCUACUUAAUUUUCCCUUCUAAAUUUAAUUUCCUCACUUUCUCCUCUACCAAACAUAGCAAGUAUAAGUUUCAAUUCAAAUUUAGGUACUAAUUAAUAAAUAACUUAAGAGUGGAAAAGGAUCUAGAAGAAAAACUGAGGUUUCCGGCCAGUAGUAGUACUAAAGCUGAAUUAUUAAGGAAUUAGUAUAACCCUAAAAAAAUCAAACAUAAAAAGAAAUUUCUGAUAGGAAUUUCCCUAUCUGAUUCUUUCCAAACAGCCAAACAAACAAUAACAGCAAAGAAAUAAUACAGAGCAGAAUGAAUAAAACUCAGAUUUGUAUUGAAACCCAGGUAGUUCGAGAGCCUGGUCUCUCCAAACAGAAAAUACAACUCAAUUCCAGCUUGAUUCCAACUGAACUCUUACUAGCUAUAUAUAUCAUUACCCAAUGUAUUAUUAUGCACCCUAUGCCCACCCAAUAACAGCUCCCAUAACUAACUUCUAAUUGACAAAUACCCCUGGACAGCAACUACCCUUUUGCUUUGCCUUUCCCUUAUCCCUCCUAGCAUACACGUUUGAGGUACUCUGUGUUCUUGGUAUAAAUAUUUAAGAGCCUGCAGGUGCAAGGCACAAGCGAUUAUUGGAUUUUUUUGUUGGCUGUUUAAAACUCUUCCAAAACCUCUUCUCCCAUAAAUGUCUCAUCUGGCAGAUCCAAUAUGGAUCAUAUCAACACCAUACAUUACAGGACAUUAACAUCGGAGCCUUUUGAAGUCAUUUCUCUUUAUCAAUAUGCCAGGGUAUAAUCAGCAAUUGGAUAUAUUUUCAUCAUCAUUCCUAACUAGAAGGCCUAAAAUUAGGCGGACGUCUCCCCGCAAAUGGAUAUUGAGAUUCAAAAGCACAUAACAUGUUGUUUAAUAAAAUUGAGUACUAAAGGGAAAGCUGCUCCCUCAUAAAGAUCCUCAUUGUAACACUUAUCAAUUAAGUGUUGUACUGAAAACUUAACUCUUAAAGAUCCAAGCCUAAAAUAAAAAUGUAGACUUCUGCAGGAUAUUAUUUGGUAACAUUUUUCAAUUUUUCUUUAAACAGUCAUAAUAGAGUAUUUCCACCUAAAGAAACUGAUUUUUGAAAGGAAGACUCUUGUUAACAUCUAUUUUGUCUAUUUGCUUUAGAAGUUGCAGGUUGGAGAAGGUUAACCUUGGCUGAGAUAUUUGUUAUUUUUAUAAGUUGCCCUUAAUUCCAUUUUUCAAUAUCACUUCCAAUGUGGUACUCCAUACUUAAUUUUACUCAAUUUGAGCGUAAGACAAUGGGCUUUAUUGGUUUAGAAUCCUAAUUCGUUUUUAUGAUUUUAAAAACAAGAAAGCUGUGAUGCCCAUACAAAUACUUGAUUGGUUUACUAUUUUAAAAAAAAAAAAAAGUUAUUUGGAAUCCAAUCCAAAACUACCCAUAAUUAGUCUUAAAGAAAAUGCAAAUAUUUUAUUUUGUGUGUAUCCAGUCUAUUUUUUUUAGCUUAUACCAAUCAAGUUUUUGAAAACAUAUCAUCAAUCUUAUUUUCAAUUAUUUUUUUUAAAUAUACUUUUCCAAUAUAAAUUGUUUUCUAAUUAGACCCCAAUCAAGCCCUAAACAAUCUUUUUCUAUUAAUUUCUUACAAUUCUCAUAUAUCAUACAUAUUUUACUAAUAAUUUAAAAUAUAAUAAAAUCAUUUCAGUUAUAUUCAAAUGUCAAAUAAAUAUGAGUAAAAAAACCCUAAUAUGCGAGUACAAAAGGGACCUUGCUAGAACUUCUCAACAAGCGUUCAAAUAUUUUGUUGUUAUUGCUUACAACUUUGAAGUUAAAUUUUAAUUGAGCGGUGAUUAAAAAAAAUGGUUUAAAUGUUAAGAAACAAUUAACUCAAAGUUUCUUUUAAAAAAAUGGGUAGGUAAUCAUUUGGUAACUUCUGUUUACAAAUAAUGUUCAUUUAGUACCCUGUAUUUUGAAAUCAUACAUAUUUGGUAACUUGCAUUUUAAAAUUAUACAUAUUUGGUAUCCUAUAUUUAAAAUUGUACAUAUUUGGUACCUUAAACUCAAAUUUAAUUAAUAAAAUUUUACCAAUUUAAUCAAAUUAUUAUCAAUCAUACGAGCAAUAAAUUAUAUAUAAUUGCUGAUAAUUUGGUCAUAUUGACAAAACUUUAUCAAUUAAGAUACAAAAUAUCUAUGUUUUUAAAAUACUGGGUACCAUAUGAACAUUAUUGAAAACAGAUGGUACUAUAACGAUACUUUGCAAAAACAAAGAAUAUCAAAUGAGUAAAUUCUCUUAAAAAAAUCACAAUAAAAUCUUUCUAUAAUAAUAAUAUUAGAAUCAACAUAUUUUUAUGACUCCAAGGGGUUGUAACUUAAAAGAAUUAUAUCUAUAAAAUAUUAUUAAAUAAUAAUUAAUAAAACAUGUCAAAUUUACAAUGUACAUAUUUAUAUAAAAGUUUAUACAUUUUUUAACUCUGUGUUUUGUCUCAUUAUCUGUUUGGACUAUGUGUUUUGACAAAUUACAUUUUGGACCCUAUGUAUUUUGGACCCUAUGUUUUGUAAAAUAGUUAAAAUAGAACCUUAAACUCAAUUUUGAUGAAGAAAAAAUUGAAUAUAACAAUACAUUUUUUAACCAGAAUGAUUUUAUUUUUGUUCUGAAUUGUUAAUUUGGUAAAUUACUUGUGAUUUUAGUUGAGAAAACAUUGACCAAAAUCGAGUUCAGAAUUCUAUUUUAACCAUUUUACAAAACAUAGGAUCCAAAAAGUAAUUUGUCAAAACACAAAGUCCAAAAAAAUAUAAACCCUUUAUAUAAUUUUUAGAUAUAUACAAAGUUAUUUAAUUGGGGCAAAAACAUAACUAUAUGGAGGUGUUUUAGUGUAUUUAGGGGUACUGAGGCACAACCCUACUCACUCAUCGCCAAAACUAUUCUUCAGUGGCAAUCCUCCUCUUCACUCUGCAUGACAGCCUAACUUGUUCUACUCUACUUGAUCUCUUUAUAUGUCCACAAGAGAUUUUUUACAUAAUUGCAACCCCACCAGUGAAAUCUUACUUUAAUAAUAGAAAAAAGGGUUCGAUUGAAUUUGGAAUAACUUGUUCGCGGAAUUUACAUGUUUUUCAAAACAAAACAAAAAAAAGUGGAAUGAAAACUUACCAUAAAGACUCUAGUGCUACGGCCGGCAUAAGAGCUGGUUGGUAUGUAGGCUACUGUUUUGAUCAAUGUUUUCUCAACUUUAGAAAAUAUUUAUGAGAAAAUUUAAAACCAAUCGGUAAAAUAAAAAGAUUGUUAUUGAUGUCUCUUAUAGAGAUUAUUCUAUAGCUGUUAUUGUUAUUUAUAAGAAGAAGAUUUUAUUGUUAAUAUCAAUGCCAAGAUGAGCCAUGAUGAGAAAGACACAGUAACAAAAUAUUCUUUGAAAAAGAUUGAGAAGAUCUUAAUUACCAUAAGAUGAAUCAGCAUCAUUGCCUAGAUUCUUUGAAUAGUUAUAUAAAAUUCAAAUAGAGAUGCUUACAUUUUAUAUAUGAGAUCACAGAUUUUUAAUAGAGUUUGCAAUAAUGUGGUAUUUUUUUUCAACAAAAUAUCAAAUUAAGUAUGUUGUGUGAAUUGGAAUUCCAUCUUAGAUGUAAACCUUAUUAUGAGAAAAUAAUAUCCCAUAGCCGGUGGUACUUUAUCUCAACAUCUAUUAUCUCCUAUAUUUCUUCCAAAGUCGCAAUUAUUAAAAUAUAUUGCUCUGUAGCUCUCAUCAUUAUUUGCUUAGUUUCUUGAAGAAACUAUUUGAUUAUGGAAUAAAAGAAAUCUCCAAGUGAUUCUCUCCAA